rnacentral:lncRNA from 1 species
GAUAGGCGUCAUGCGGCACCGUGCCCAGCUGGGAUUUCUGUUCUUUGGGGGAAAGGAGGAGAAGGAAGAUCUUACAUGUCUCCUGCAGGGUGCACCUUCUUCCCCUGCAUGGGCAGUGGGCUCUGUGAAGAAGUCAGAAGCCAAGGAAUGGUGGCCAUACAUGGAAGGUGGGUUCUAAAGAGACCUGAUGGGUAGGUGUGGAGUCAGCAAGCCUGGGCUUUCGUUCUGCGACAAGGAGUACUUACAAAUGGAGAAAGACAGAGACAGACCACAGGACGUAGAGAACCUAAAUGAGUGGUAGAGGACAGGACCCAUUUAGUCGCUGAAGGGAACUUUGCAAACUAAAUCUUAAUUUGUACAGAUGGGAAAACUGAGGUUCUGAGGCCAGGUGGGGAUGACACGCCCUGUGUUCCCAGAACUCAGGAGGCUGAGGCAGGAGGAUUGCUGUGAAUUCAAAGCCAGCCUGGGCUCCUUAGAUGAGACCCAGUCUCUACCUAAAUAAACAUUUUUUAAAAACUGAGGCUCGGAGAGAGAAAUUGCCACAAGAGUGGCAUGCGACUGAGUCAUGCACUUACAGUGGGGUGCCCUAUCCAUAACAUGCAUUUCUGGGUGUAAAAAGUGUUUCUGGGACCAGGCGUGGUAGCACAUGCCUGUGAACCCUGGCAGGCCGAGGCAGGAGGAUCACUAUAGGUUCAAGGCCAGCCUGAGCUACACAGUGAGACCCUGUCUUAAGAAACAAGGCCAAGGGGGCCGGGGAUUUAGCUCAAUGGUUCUGGCAUCUGCCACACAAGCACAUGGUCUGGAGUUCUAUCUCCGAUACCAAAAAAACCCCAAAACAACAAGGCCAAAAAAACUCACGUGGUGAAAAAUUUUAAAUCAGACAAAAAUAUAAGAAGAAAUAAAAAAGACCUAUCAUUCCAGUGGCGGUGUGGGGCGCUCUGGGGGUAAAGUGUGCGACCAGUGAGCCCACACCCAGGGCGUGUGCGAGAGAGUGUGGGAAGCCAGCCUGGCUUGGGAGGAGUCAGACCUGGGAUCACAGCCCGGCCCCUGCUUCCUCCUGUGACUCAGGCACUGCGCUAAGGUCGGCGUGGUUCCCCUCCUCCUUCCCUUUUGCCCCGGGUUCUCAGAUCGGGUGGAUGUCUCAGAAGACGGGCAGUGGCCUUGUCCAGGCUGCGAGGUGCCUGCCCAUGGGCUGCGGUGGCUCACUUCCUGCAGGACAGCCCUUGAGCUUCACUCCUUUUACGCAAACUUCUUCCCAUAAGGCCAAGGGGAGAGCUCAGAAUUGGUGUCGGCAUCUGCACGGUGCUGGUGGCCAUGAUGCCUGUCCGUCUGUCUGAACCAUCUGCCAGGAUGCUGUAGCAUGGCAGGGGAUGCCCAGGAGGCACAGUGGAGGGCACAGGUGGAGAUCGGAGGUGGCCAGGGGGCGAGGUGACCCUCCAGCUGGCCAGUGGCACCCUGCAGUGGGUGCAGGCCCCAUGGGCUGCCAGCUGCAGAGCCUCAUGGCAAUGUGUGUUUGUUACUC